CUCCCAGGCUCUCCGAGGCCCGGGCGGCUCUGCCCAAUGAGCAGCGGCGUUGCUGGCAGGUGGGGAGUGUUUUUGUUUUGGGUUGAAGUUGAGGCUGUGGAGAGAGCCGAGCUAGCGACUAGCAGUCGUCGCGGCCGCCAGCGCCGCAGGAGGUGGUGGAGGCCUCGUCCGAGCCCAGAGGUCUCUCCUUCCCGUCCCGCGGCCCCGACUUCGCCCCUCCACGUCCUGGUCCCCGUCCCCGAACUCCUGGGCCUGUCCUGGGCCCCCGGUCUGUGCACUCCGCUCGCCGCAGCGCCCGGCCCGGGCCGCACCCGCCGGCCCCAUGAGGAGAGACGUGAACGGAGUGACCAAGAGCAGGUUUGAGUCUGUACUUUUGUAGCACAUUGUUUCUGGGAACCCUUGGAUGUCUACAUGCUUUGAGAUUGGGACGAAAGUUCAGCAAAUCCAUUCCGGUCUUUUAGGAACUUUUUCUCCUCUAGCGAGGGAGGUUUACAGUCCUGGAAUUGAGGAGUGGAUGGUCUUGAAAGCAUCUGUAGAGAGUAGUCACCGUGCAGGAAAGACAUUCCAUUGGGAAGCAAAGUAUUGUAACUACUGGUGAAUUACAGUAGUAUAACAGUAUACUGGAAGGUUCUUUGAAGGGACAAGAGAAAGAAACUUCUACAGGAAGAGUAAAUGUCACCUGGUCUUUUCUGGCAGAGAACCAGGCUGACCUGGUAUCACUCACAGCUUGGUGGACAAUCUCACUCGGUGUUUUUCAUCGUCUCCAUUUGAAAGAUGAAAUUGUAAGACGGCAAGAAAAAAGUUAAGAAACUCGACCACUAGGUACAGGGAGUGAAAAAUUUUAAGGGUCGUCAGUUUGUUCCUUGAUUCUUUUUUUUUUUUUUUAAAUUUCAUGACUCCUUUUGUGCCACCUUGAUUUCUUCUUAUUAGAACGGGAAAAUGAUUUGAAUUGAUCCAUGAAGAUCAAGAUAGGAAGUGUUCGGGGUGAGUUUAAGUUCAGAGCUACAGUGUUAUUGUUGCACUUGAGGAGUGGAAAAAAUCAAAGAAUUGGCCUUCUUAGAGUUUUAGUAUUUAACUUGAUCACGAGAAGAAAAUACUAUGGUAGAUAUUAUUUGGUGCUUAAUAGGACAUUGGAUGGCUCUAAUGUACAGAGCCCCAAUAGGUUAAUUUAUGACGGUUUCAUAUUCAGUACUACUUUAAAAAUCUUGAAAGGGAGUUUCAGAUUCUGAAGAUUUGAGUCGGGGACAGUCUUUUGCCUGUGGAAUUAUAUCUUUAUCAGUUUGCUUUUCAUUUUAGGUUGAAUAAUUGUUGGAAAGUAUUCUCUUGUAUGUGCUUUAAAAUUACACUGCUAUUUUUUAUUUUUAUAAUUCAUUUAUGUUUUAAUUUACAAUCUCUCUGUAGUGGUGACAUAUUAUAAUAAAAUACUACGAAAAUUUGUUGCUUUAUUAAGAGGUUUCUUUUUAACUUGACUGUGAUGUAGCUAGCAACUAAAGCUUUCUAAAUAUGAUCUGAGAAGGUU